rnacentral:rRNA from 1 species
GAUGAACGCUGGCGGCGUGCUUAACACAUGCAAGUCGAACGGAAAGGCCCAAGCUUGCUUGGGUGCUCGAGUGGCGAACGGGUGAGUAACACGUGGGUGAUCUGCCCUGCACUUUGGGAUAAGCCUGGGAAACUGGGUCUAAUACCGGAUAGGACCAUCGUUUAGUGUCGGUGGUGGAAAGUUUUUCGGUGUGGGAUGAGCUCGCGGCCUAUCAGCUUGUUGGUGGGGUAAUGGCCUACCAAGGCGUCGACGGGUAGCCGGCCUGAGAGGGUGUACGGCCACAUUGGGACUGAGAUACGGCCCAGACUCCUACGGGAGGCAGCAGUGGGGAAGAUUGCACAAUGGGCGCAAGCCUGAUGCAGCGACGCCGCGUGGGGGAGGACGGCCUUCGGGUUGUAAACUCCUUUCGCCAAGGACGAAGCGUUUUGUGACGGUACUUGGAGAAGAAGCACCGGCUAACUACGUG